rnacentral:rRNA from 1 species
AUUGAACGCUGGCGGCAUGCCUAACACAUGCAAGUCGAACGCGGAAGGGUUUUGGCCUGAGUAGCGUGGCGGACGGGUGAGUAAUGCGUGGGAAUCUGCCUGGUCAUGGGGGGAUAACCCGGGGAAACUCGGGCUAAUACCGCAUACGCCCUACGGGGGAAAGGGGGCUUCGGCUCUCGUGAUCAGAUGAGCCCACGUCCGAUUAGCUAGUUGGCAGGGUAAAGGCCUACCAAGGCGACGAUCGGUAGCUGGUCUGAGAGGAUGAUCAGCCACACUGGGACUGAGACACGGCCCAGACACCUACGGGAGGCAG